GUGAAGCAAAAAUCACGUGCUUACAAUAAUUACAAUUUAUAUCUUUUGUGUAAGCUUAUAAUGUUUUGUUUAUUAGCUAUGAAUUAGUUUCAAAUGACUAGUGUUUCAAUUGAUUAUUUAACAUUGUAUUUUAUAGAAACCUAGGGUUUAAGUUGUAUUUAUCAUUAUUUAACAUUUUAUAAAAAUCUAGGAUUUAUAGAAAUCUAGGAUAUAAAUCGAAACUUUUAGGAUAUGAGUUGAAUUUUUAGAAUAUGAAUUGAAACUUUUAGGAUAUGAGUUGAAUUUUUAGGAUAUAAAUAGAAAUUUUAGGAUAUGACUUGAACUUUUGUGGAUAUGAAUUGAACCUUUAGGAUAUAAAUUGAACAUUUAGUUUAUGUUUAAACGCGUAGGAUAAGAAUUGAUGAACUUUUAGUUUUUAGGUUUUGUUCUUGUGAAUUGAACUUGUACGAUAUAAAUUGAAGCUUUUAUGUACGACUUGAACUUUUUACGAUAUGAGUUGAAACUUUUAGGAUAUGAGUUGAACUUUUAGGAAAUAAAUUGAACCUUUAGGAUAUGUAUUGAGCCUUUAGGAUAUGACUUGAAGUUUUAGUUUAUGUUUAAACUCGUAAGAUAUGAAUAUAACUUUUAGUUUUUAGGUUUUGUUCUUGUGAAUUGAACUUGUAGGAUAUAAAUUGAAGCUUUUAUGUAUGACUUGAACUUUUUAGGAUAUGAGUUGAACUUUUAGGAAAUAAAUUGAACCUUUAGCAUAUGUAUUGAACCUUUAGGAUAUGACUUGAACUUUUAGUUUAUGUUUAAACUCGUAGGAUAUGAAUAUAACUUUUAGUUUUUAGGUUUUGUUCUUGUAAAUUGAACUUGUAGGAUAUAAAUUGAAACUUUUAGGAUAUGAGUUGAAUUUUUAGGAUACAAAUAGAAUUUUUAGGAUAUGACUUGAACUUUUGUGGAUAUGAAUUAAUCCUUUAGGAUAUAAAUUGAACUUUUAGUUUAUGUUUAAACUCGUAGGAUAAGAAUUGAUGAACUUUUAAUUUUUAGGUUUUGUUCUUGUGAAUUGAACUUGUACGAUAUAAAUUGAAGCUUUUAUGUAUGACUUGAACUUUUUAAGAUAUGAGUUGAAACUUUUAGGAUAUGAGUUGAACUUUUGGGAAAUAAAUUGAACCUUUAGGAUAUGUAUUGAACCUUUAGGAUAUGACUUGAAAUUUUAGUUUAUGCUUAAACUCGUAAGAUAUGAAUAUAACUUUUAGUUUUUAGGUUUUGUUCUUGUGAAUUAAACUUGUAGGAUACAAAUUG
rnacentral:lncRNA from 1 species